UACGUAGGGGGCAAGCGUUGUCCGGAUUUACUGGGCGUAAAGAGCGCGUAGGCGGACGCUUAAGUGUGGCCUGAAAGCCCCCGGCUCAACCGGGGAGGGUGGCUGCAAACUGGGCGUCUUGAGGGCGAUAGAGGAGAGCGGAAUUCCUGGUGUAGCGGUGAAAUGCGCAGAUAUCAGGAGGAACACCGGUGGCGAAGGCGGGUCUCUGGGCCGAUACUGACGCUGAGGAGCGAAAGCGUGGGGAGCGAACAGG
rnacentral:rRNA from 1 species